CCCCAGGUCUUAGUUUCCUCUGCUCUCUCAACGAAGAACCCUCUUUAUAGAAGACGCUCCUUGGACUUCUCGAAGCUUCCUCUACGAGUUAAUAGUGAGACCAUGACCAGAUUCAAUGAAGGGCCUUAGCAAGAGAACUUGAAAGAGGAGAAACGCGCCUGGAAAACCCUAGGUUCACGAUGAUACUCCAGGAGCGGAAAGGAUUCGAAGCGGAGUGAAAAAUAGGAAGAUUGUUCAGUGAGAAAUGCGAUUUAGGUCGCGUGUUCGGUAGAAAAGGACGAUUCAACGACUGAAUCGGUAAAACAGUGCCAAGAUUGUUGGACUCGUGAAAGCUUAAACCGUAGUCGCUGUGUGACCGAGCUAUUGUUCCAUAACCACCAUUGCAUCUUCUCAUCUCCUACGAGGGUUUCCAAGGAUUCGAGAUUGGAGGCAGCGGGAGGGGAUAAGUUGAGAGUGUUUCAGGGGAAUAUUUGAACUUCUACAAACAGAUCAAAGUUUCAUGUAAGUUUUGAUAAUGAAGCUUUAAAUGUAAUUUUGAAGCCUUUUUCUUUAAUAAAAUUGAAAGAAUGCUAUUGGAUUGCUAUACUGUAGGUUAGCACUACAACCUGUACCAAUCAUAUGUUGCAUUCUUGAUAAAAGGAAAAGAAAAAAAUACAAAAGUGGGGGCACUAAUUAUGAAACCUUGAUUGAGAACUUGACAGUGGACGAUUUUGAACUUUUGUUGAAAAGAGUACUCAAGUAAUGAUUAUGUCACUUGAGACAACUUCUCUUUGUUUGUUAGACUAAGGCUUUGAUAUGAACCGAGGAAGAACGGGAGAUUGAAGAGGGCGAUUAUUGUUACUUUUGGGAUUGAAUUAGACAAGUAUUUUAGGAAGAUUAGGAUCCCUGCAUAAUCCAUAGAGUAUGAUAUUUUCUUUGAUUUGUCUUAAUAGUUCUUUUUUGGUUAUGUGGAAAAUAAUGUUUGACAUUUUAUUCCUUGUACAAUUAGUUGAACAGAAAAUGAACAUUCAGUUGGUUUCAAGCAGGAGCACCAUCUUAUGCAGUAGAGCUGGGAAGGCUAUAUAGGAAAGUUUCAACAAAAUUAUGUGUUAGACACCAUAUACCUCAACCCGGUUUUGUAAGACAAUAUUCUCUUGUAAGUUGUGAAAAAUUUCAAGAAUAAAGCUUUUGAAGAUUACUUUAAA